GAGUUUGAUCGUGGCUCAGAUUGAACGCUGGCGGCAUGCCUUACACAUGCAAGUCGAACGGCAGCACGGGAGCUUGCUCCUGGUGGCGAGUGGCGAGCGGGUGAGUAAUGCAUCGGAACGUAUCCUGGAGUGGGGGAUAACGUAGCGAAAGUUACGCUAAUACCGCAUAUUCUGUGAGCAGGAAAGCGGGGGACCUUCGGGCCUCGCGCUCUUGGAGCGGCCGAUGUCGGAUUAGCUAGUUGGUGAGGUAAAGGCGUCACCAAGGCGACGAUCCGUAGCAGGUCUGAGAGGAUGAUCUGCCACACUGGAACUGAGACACGGUCCAGACUCCUACGGGAGGCAGCAGUGGGGAAUUUUGGACAAUGGGGGCAACCCUGAUCCAGCCAUGCCGCGUGAGUGAAGAAGGCCUGGUUCGUAAGUACGUCUUUACGUCG
rnacentral:rRNA from 1 species